rnacentral:lncRNA from 1 species
UUUGGUCAUUACUUGGAUUUUGUUUGCAUAUUUCAUUUGGUUUGUAUGUUUGCACAUGGUAUGUCAUAAUCAUGUUAUGGUUUUGUAAAAAUGCCUUGGAUAUGGUUAGGUUUGAUGGCAUGAACAUGACAUGGUUUUUUUUUUAGGUUGGCAUGAUGAACAUGGUUUGGUCAAGGGUGACUUGCAUUUGAAGAAAGCAUGAUGAUCACCAAAUUUAAG